rnacentral:rRNA from 1 species
GACAGAGGUGCCAAGCGUUAGGCGGAAUCACUGGGCUUAAAGCGUGUGUAGGCGGACUUGUAAGUACCUUGUGAAAUCCCACGGCUCACCCGUGGAACUGCUGGGUAUACUGCGAGUCUUGAGCCACUUAGGGGCUGUCGGAACAGGCGGUGGAGCGGUGAAAUGCGUAGAGAUCGGAAAGAACACCAACGGCGAAAGCACUCUGCUGGGCCGACACUGACACUGAGAGACGAAAGCGUGGGGAGCAAACAGG